rnacentral:rRNA from 1 species
CAGCACCUCAAGUGGUCAGGAUGAUUAUUGGGCCUAAAGCAUCCGUAGCCGGCUCUGUAAGUUUUCGGUUAAAUCUGUACGCUCAACGUACAGGCUGCCGGGAAUACUGCAGAGCUAGGGAGUGGGAGAGGUAGACGGUACUCGGUAGGAAGGGGUAAAAUCCUUUGAUCUAUUGAUGACCACCUGUGGCGAAGGCGGUCUACCAGAACACGUCCGACGGUGAGGGAGGAAAGCUGGGGGAGCAAACCGGAUUAGAUACCCGAGUAGUCC